ACACUCUAGUUUUUUCUCAGAUCGUGUAAAUCUUUCGCCUUUUACUAAAGAUUUCCGUGGAGAGGAGCUACUCUGAGUCUUAAGCCAGUUUUUUGAGGCCCCGGUUGGAUAAGACU